rnacentral:rRNA from 1 species
AUUGAACGCUGGCGGCAUGCCUUACACAUGCAAGUCGAACGGCAGCACGGGAGCAAUCCUGGUGGCGAGUGGCGAACGGGUGAGUAAAGUAUCGGAACGUGCCCAGUCGUGGGGGAUAACGUAGCGAAAGUUACGCUAAUACCGCAUACGAUCUAUGGAUGAAAGCGGGGGAUCGCAAGACCUCGCGCGAUUGGAGCGGCCGAUAUCAGAUUAGGUAGUUGGUGGGGUAAAGGCUCACCAAGCCGACGAUCUGUAGCUGGUCUGAGAGGACGACCAGCCACACUGGGACUGAGACACGGCCCAGACUCCUACGGGAGGCAGCAGUGGGGAAUUUUGGACAAUGGGCGAGAGCCUGAUCCAGCCAUGCCGCGUGCAGGAUGAAGGCCUUCGGGUUGUAAACUGCUUUUGUACGGAACGAAAAGGUUUGGGCUAAUAAGCUGAGCUCAUGACGGUACCGUAAGAAUAGGCACCGGCUAACUACGUGCCAGCCGCCGCGGUAA